UACAGAACGUACACAUCGGUACAUAUGUUCGUUUAACAUAUAUGUAAACAUAAAGUUUAUGAAUUAAGACAAGUACGUGCCCAGUGUCUCUACGUAGCCUUCCAAUAGGAUUGGUUUUUAUAUUUAUAUAUAUAUUUAACAAAAGAGACAAAUAUCUGUGUGCACAUGGUGGCUAAACUGUUGGGAAGGUGAUUGGAAUCAUUGGAAUCGUAAGGAAGGAUCGAUGACUUCGAUGAGAACGCGUCUAAUGUAAAUGUAAUCUGUUACAGUAUGGUAUAGUAUAGUUACUCUACCUGUAUAUUGUUGAAGAUUUGCGGAAGUGUAAUGUAAAUAAAUGUUUACGGUACUGUAUUACCCCUGAAAAGCAGUUAAUAGUAUGACAGAACUAUCCUCGGUCACCGUGAAGGCAACCAUAAUUCUAACCUUCGUCGCUGGAUUUAUGUUGGGUUAUAAAGCUAAAGAAUGGAGAAUUAAGUGGAUGAAAUGGAGACGAGAUAAACUUGCAACGAAACUUGCGGAAACCCAAAAAAAGUUGGAAGUAAUAAUCACAUCAUGACAGUUGUAUCGGAUUUAGUGAAGGGCUUGUGGGGUUCAUAUAUAUGUACCAGUUGAGCUACUGACAGUUGUAGAAAAUCUAAUACUUCUACAGUUACAAUGUAAACACACAUUGACUAAGUGUUCUACAGUUGGUAGCCUGCGAAGACCUUGUAGGGGUGUGUGAUGUCUGCAUGUUUUCUUAGUUACUUUAUGAACAAAUAGCCAAUUUGAUGAAAAUAAUUCAAAGGUCAUGCCACUGGAUGUCACAGUGACUUAAAGGUUAUUUGAUAUACACAUUCUUUUUUUAUAUGAUGAGAUACUAUACAUGUGGGCAUAUUCUGUAUGAAAAAUGUACAAAGGCAUUGGAUAUCAAUGUGACAUGAAAUAAUAAAAGCAUUUGCCUGACUUCAUUUAAUAGUUCUGAUAAAAUUCAUUGCUAUUAAAGUGCUUACAUGAUAUGAAGGUGCUAAAGUUUUAUUUAGUUUAUCCAUCUUGUCAAUUUUAUGUAAAGAAUUAUUACUUUUGUAACUCUUCUUACAUUAACAUCACAACAUUUACUUUUUGAAGCCAUGUUUUGUGACAAAACGAUGCAGUACUUUAUAAGAAAGGAAAGUUAUUCUGAGUCUGUGAAAGGCUUGUUACACUGCUGAACACAUUUUCACAGCACGAGUUAAGGUAUUUUAACCGCACACGCGUAUCUAGGUGGAGUACACUGACCUGGAUCGGAGACUAUCUAGAAGUGCGCUGUAGAUCUGGUAGUCUGGUUGGCGGCUACGUCCUUCUUGAUAACGCCUCCGCGAAUGGAAUAUCUCAGGGUUUAUUGGGCUAGUUGAUAAGAGGUGUUAUCAUUGAAUGUUUUAAAGCUUUCGGGUAGAGUCAUGGAUUCUUUCCUCAGGGACGUUUAGGGCCUCGCUUCAAAGGGGUUGGAAGGAGAUGUCCUGGAUUCGACUCUCCGUGUUAGCGGAGUCAGGUGAGAACACAUGACGUUCUUCUUGAAGCAGACCGGAAAACAAGAAAUUGUAAGAUGUGGAAAAAUUUAUGUAGAAUUUUUAAUAGUUUAUGAAUAAACAAAAAUAAAUAUUAUAUAUUAAUUUGCAGAGAU